AUACGUAGGGGGGCGAGCGUUGUCCGGAAUGAUUGGGCGUAAAGGGCGCGUAGGCGGCCCGGUAAGUCUGGAGUGAAAGUCCUGUUUUUAAGAUGGGAAUUGCUUUGGAUACUGUCGGGCUUGAGUGCAGGAGAGGUAAGUGGAAUUCCCAGUGUAGCGGUGAAAUGCGUAGAGAUUGGGAGGAACACCAGUGGCGAAGGCGACUUACUGGACUGUAACUGACGCUGAGGCGCGAAAGUGUGGGGAGCAAACAGGAUUAGAUACCCUGGUAGUCCACACUGUAAACGAUGAAUGCUAGGUGUAGGGGGUAUCGACCCCUUCUGUGCCGCAGUCAACACAAUAAGCAUUCCGCCUGGGGAGUACGGCCGCAAGGUUGAAACUCAAAUGAAUUGACGGGG
rnacentral:rRNA from 1 species